rnacentral:rRNA from 2 species
UGAGGAAUAUUGGUCAAUGGGCGAGAGCCUGAACCAGCCAAGUAGCGUGCAGGAUGACGGCCCUAUGGGUUGUAAACUGCUUUUAUGUGGGGAUAAAGUGCGUGACGUGUCAUGCAUUGCAGGUACCACAUGAAUAAGGACCGGCUAAUUCCGUGCCAGCAGCCGCGGUAAUACGGAAGGUCCGGGCGUUAUCCGGAUUUAUUGGGUUUAAAGGGAGCGUAGGCUGUCUAUUAAGCGUGUUGUGAAAUUUACUGGCUCAACCGGUGGCUUGCAGCGCGAACUGGUCGACUUGAGUAUGCAGGAAGUAGGCGGAAUUCAUGGUGUAGCGGUGAAAUGCUUAGAUAUCAUGACGAACUCCGAUUGCGCAGGCAGCUUACUGUAGCAUAACUGACGCUGAUGCUCGAAAGUGCGGGUAUCAAACAGG